UACAGAGGGUGCGAGCGUUAAUCGGAAUUACUGGGCGUAAAGCGUGCGUAGACGGCUAUCUAAGUCGGGUGUGAAGGCCCCGGGCUCAACCUGGGAAUUGCAUUCGAGACUGAAUAGCUAGGGUACGGUAGAGGGAAGUGGAAAUUUCCGGUGUAGCUGGGUGAAAUGCGUAGAUAUCGGAAGGAACAUCAGUGGCGAAAGCGACUUCCUGGACCAGUACCGACGUUCAGGCACGAAAGCGUGGGGAGCAAAUAAGGAUUAGAAACCCCGAGUAA
rnacentral:rRNA from 1 species